AAUAUUGGUCAAUGGACGGAAGUCUGAACCAGCCAUGCCGCGUGGAGGAAGAAGGUCCUAUGGGUUGUAAACUCCUUUUGUCCGAGAGUAAUAAGCGGGAUGCGUCCCGCGAUGAGAGUAUCGGGCGAAUAAGCAUCGGCUAACUCCGUGCCAGCAGCCGCGGUAAUACGGAGGAUGCAAGCGUUAUCCGGAUUUAUUGGGUUUAAAGGGUGCGCAGGCGGCGCGUUAAGUCAGCGGUGAAAUCUCCCGGCUCAACCGGGGAACUGCCGUUGAUACUGGCGUGCUCGAGUACGGACGGCGCCGGCGGAAUGUGUCAUGUAGCGGUGAAAUGCUUAGAUAUGCCACAGAACACCGAUCGCGAAGGCAGCUGGCGAGGCCGGGACUGACGCUCAGGCACGAAAGCGUGGGGAUCAAACAG
rnacentral:rRNA from 1 species